rnacentral:rRNA from 1 species
UACGUAGGGGGCAAGCGUUAUCCGGAUUUAUUGGGCGUAAAGAGCGUGUAGGCGGCCAGGUAGGUCAGCUGUGAAAACUCGAGGCUCAACCUCGAGACGCCGGUUGAAACCAUCUGGCUAGAGUCCGGAAGAGGAGAGUGGAAUUCCUGGUGUGGCGGUGAAAUGCGCAGAUAUCAGGAAGAACACCCGUGGCUAAGGCGGCUCUCUAGUACGGUACUGACGCUGAGACGCGAAAAGCGUGGGGAGCGAACAGG